UAAUUCCGAAACUUCUUCUUUAUUCAUCAGAAUUAAAACAUAGCUUGUAUGGUAAAGGAAAUUGUCUAUGACUAAAAACAACACCAGAAACUACAACCUACUUAUUACAGAGAAUUGUGUAAAUAUGUACCAUCUACAUAUGGAUCAUUAAUUCGGUGAAGGUUAUUUAUAUUACAGAUAAAAAUAAACAGUAUCAUCUUAAAAUCAAAAUAAAAUUUCUAUUCUUAAAUAUAUUGCAUGUUAAAUUCCAAAUGGAAGUUUUCUUGUGUCACAUUACACCAUAAUUUCAAAUACAAAAUAUUAAAUUGCAUUACGACAUAUACACAUUGGGGAUUCCCUUUGCUAUUUAUAGAUUUAUAUUACAACGCCAGGGAGAUUGUUCAUACCGCUCGUGGUUUUUUUCCUGAAGUAAUCAAGGGAAUUUAAGGAGGAAAUUGAGGUCUCUGCAACACCUAAACAGUGCUGGCAACGUAUCCAAACAGUUCAAAAUUAUAAACAAUGGCAGAAAAUAACCAGCAAAGACUUAAAGAUAUUAUGAAAUAUGCAGAGCACUUAAAGCAUGCUCGCCAGUGUACCGACGACAAGUGUUCUAUGGAUUUAUGCAGCAAGAUGAAGCGUGCCAUUGCCCAUGUUAGAUGUUGUAGGAAUAGAAAGACAAGCUUAUGUCAGUUGUGUGUACAGACGAUGAUUCUGUGUGUGUUCCAUGCUAAAAGCUGUUACAACGAUACGUGUCAAAUGCUUUUCUGUUCCCAAAUUAGAUACAAAUUAAAACAGUGUCGGCUCAGACGUACGAGAAGUAGACAUCCAUACCAUAGGACAAGGCCGACCACGUCAAACCUCUCAUCCCAGGGUACACCUGGACUCUCAUCCCAGGGUACACCAGGACUCUCAUCCCAGGGUACACCAGGACUCUCAUCCCAGGGUACACCAGGACUCUCAUCCCAGGGUACACCAGUACUGCAACAGGCACUGGAGGCCACUCUGGUAGCGUGGAAACCAGGACGGAAAAUAAAUGUCGAUGUGUAACUAGUUCCUCUAGAUGUGUCAAUCAGUGAUAUAUAAAAAUGGAUGGUAUUGCAGCAUAGCGUUCCGCAGAAAUAUGUAUCUGCGAACACGAGUCGUUGAAAGAAUAUGAAGAUAUAGGCUUGCGUAUUGCAGCAUAGCGUUCCGCAGAAAUAUGUAUCUGCGAACACGAGUCGUUGAAAGUACAGGAAGAUAUAGGCCUUCGGCCAAGAGGAUUCAUCAGUCCCACAAACUGAUGGUUUUCAAAUGACAGCAACUCAACUGAUUCCAGUAAACAUCUCUUCAAAAUCGUUCUGAAGGGUUCUUCUCCCAUCCUGUUUCUGAAGUAUCCUUGAUAUUUCAGGUGUAACGUUCAAUUUCUUUCUCUGCCGUCUUAGAAUAUGCUAUGAAAUAAUAGAAAGUUCAAUGAUCGUCACCUUGUGCAUAAACAAAAAGGCUUGUGAGAUCCUUUGUUGGCAUCAAACAAAUUAAAUUUCGAGGUCGUCAUUCUGCUAACUUGAUUGGCCAUCGUCGCUCUUAUAUCUUCAUUCAAAAGAAACGCACCAGUUUAGCAAUUGGUCGAGUAUCUUUCCUGACACCAAUCAAAUAACUAGUCGCGAGCCUUUAAUUUGACUAUGACAUAUAUUCCAGGGGUGCAGAGAGCUGAGUAUCAAGACCCAUGGAUGGUUCUGAAUAUAGUGACUUUCUGCUUUUAUAUGAUAUUAAGCCUGUGUGCUGUUCUCCAGUGGACUUUUUUUUUCUAAAACUGUCAAUAUUUCAUCCUAAAAUUGAUUGAUAUUUUAAAGAAUUGGUAGAAUAUAUACAUGCAAUGUGAUAUAUUUUGUGAAACACAUUACGUGUAAUUCGUGUGUAUUUCAGUUUUCAAAAUGCUCUCAACUGAGUUUGUCUUUAGAACUGAGACAUAGAUUUGUCUUUAGAACUGAGACAAUAGAUUUGUCUUUAGAACUGAGACAAUAGAUUUGUCUUUAGAACUGAGACAAUAGAUUUGUCUUUAGAACUGAGACAAUAGAUUUGACUUUAGAACUGAGACGAUUGAUGUAAUGGUCCAAUACUGAUGACCGAAAGUCUAUGGUGUUAUGUAAAGUCAGCUCUAUUGUUAUCAGUAGUUUGUAGUGUUCUCCCCAGGGUUUCAGGAUUCCUUGGUAAUCAGGUAACAAAACCCGCUAAAGGUUUCCGCUGCCAAAAUUUGAUUGUCUAACAUGUGUUUCGAAGUUUGCUUUUUCAAAUGAUUUGCUUUUAUCUACUGAAGUUUUAAUUAUAAGCAGAUUGAGACAUUUGUCAUGGAGGAUGACAUCCUAUUAAUCUUACCUGGUCAUCAUUGUAAAUCGAUUGGUUUGAUUAUUACUCUGAACAAUAUAACUUGGCGGUCAAAAAAUUACAGUCUCUUACUGUAACGGGAGCCUGAAGUUGGUUCCGAGUUCCAGUUCCGUUUUACUUAAACGGAACUCGGAACUCGGAACUCGGAACCAACUUCAGGCUCCCUACUGUAACUGGUUAUAAUGGUCAUGAGGAACACUGUUAUGCUUCGGUAAAGUUCGGAAGUAGCGGAAACGAUUUGAGGUUUGAAAUGUAUCAGCCAAACACCAUGUGUAACUCGUUGAAGAGUUUACCUUUGUAGACUAGAAUAUGCAAGAGAGGUACUUCCCAUUCAUUUGUAUGCAUAUCAACAAUAGCAGAGGACCAAGAGCAGAACUUUGGGGGUACUCCAGCAGAUACAGUUUUGAAGGAUGAUCUUGAUAUACCUACUGCUCCUCGGGGUUCAUUCCGGGGUAGAUCAUGAUCGUGACAUAGAAAAUGUACCAUUUAACGUGUGCAACGUAAUAGAAUCUAGAUUCCAACUUUCCUUUUGUCCUAAACUAUAUAACAACCGACCUUGUAACGAAACCCUAAUUCUAACUCGAAAUCGAUCAAUCGAGGGGUAAAUACGAACACAAAAUAAAGAUUAACAUGCAUAAUAGAUAUCAUUAUGUUAAUUUUACAGUUUUAUAUAUCAAUACCCGCUACAUCACUAGUUUGAAUUGGAGAAUCUGGCUGUUAUUUUGUCUUCUGGAAUUCUCAGUUUAUAUAUUGAUAUGUUUUUUUUAACUAAGAAGAGAGAACCUGUACUAGCAGAAAAACUAAAUAUCCACAAUAUAUUUGUCUGCUGUCAACAUCAAGGCAUAACGAGGGGAUGCUGUUAUGCUACUAUCGAAAAAGGGAAAGUUAAAGUUAUGAUUUUUGUUACAUCAUCCAUUUAUGGGAAAGCCACUACUGCGUAAGCGUAAGGUUACUUAUUAUAUGAUUACAGAUUAUAUGCAUGUGGCGUAGACUUCAAAUGUAUUGUUACGCUAAGAAUUGUACGGGAAGUAUUGUUAAUUGUUUGGAAAAUACUUGGCGGUGGCCAUUCUUCUUUUGUAGUUAUUAUAUCAAAUGUCUGAUCAGAUUGUCAUGUAUAAAGUUAAAAGUUGAAAAAAAUCUGGCAUAGGUUUGGUUUUUUUUUUUUAUCUGAAUACGUUAAAGGCCUAGAGACAGAUAUUAUAAUUAGUAUAACCAGCUUAGUCAUUUUUGUGGUUUGAUUAGGAAACAGUAACUUAGUUUUUUAAUAACACUAAAAUAUGACAUUAUAAAAAAGCCCAGCAAUCUGUGGGAGUAAACUAAAAACCUCCGUGUUACGGUUUACCCGUUAAUCAUGAGUUUUCAAAUUACAAAUACAUGUACAGAUGUGUAAUUCGGUGCUAUACUUCCUUGUAAGUAUAAAUGGUGUCAGCUGUCCUCGGUGAAAGUGGUAUUUGUAGUAUACAGAUAGGGAAAUCAGUAUCAAGCCCUACAUGACAUUUUGCAUGUCCAUCGACGUAGAUAUUUGAUAGUUUAAGUGUAUGGUUGUUUACCAUGUUCCUUAAGUAUUUUCUUUGCCAGUCAGUUUGAAGGGAAGGUUUUCGUAUGAAGAUCUUAUUUCUGACACCAUAACAUUACGAUGAUAUGAAGACAUGUAAAUAUACCAGUGAAAGAUAAUAAGAUUAUUUUUAUCCUGUUACUGAAAAACGAGUAUAAAUGGUUGGAUUUGCUCAGUACAAACCCAUUACAAAUGAGUUUGAAUUUUUCUAAAUGCUUAUAAGCCAUGUCAGUGAAAAUGAACGAGUACAGUUGUUGGGGUGGAUGGUGUAUACACUGUAUAUCAUUAUUAAUGCAUUCCCGGUUAUGAUUUUUCUGGAAGGUAUGGAAUUAGUAUGGAUAUGAUAAAUGUCGUACUGAGUUAUAUAUAUAUACAUGUACAUAUAUAUAUAUAUAUAUAUAUAUAUAUAUAUAGGUGGUCAUUUGAUUGAUCUCGAUUAAAACAGGAAACUACAUACCAGUAUGACCCUAAGCGGAAACUACCAUCCUCUUUCUAUUCAAUUGAAAAUUUUCGAAGGGUUUUAAUUAUGAGAUGGAAUUAAUAUUUUCAUAUUCUAAAUAUAAGUGAUACUAAGAAUUCAAUUGUUCAAUGAGUUGCGCAGCGGUUUCUAUCUAAUUUUGAUAAUGAUAUCAAUGUUACACGGAAAACGGAAAUUUAUCUAAAGUGAUAAUACACCUAAAAAUGUGUAUGUGAAUGAAGUUACAUGUAUAUCAAUAUAUUUUGUAAUUUUGUACCUAUCUUUAUGUGCUAAAACAUAAAUCGUGAUAUCAUUAUCAAAAACCCUGAUUGUGUUGAUUAUACAGUACUAAGCUUUUUUCUCAUUGUUUGCAUUUUUCUCAUUGCUUGCAUUUUUCUUAUUGUUUGUAUUUUUCCAAUUGUAUUUUGCUUAUUGUUUGUAUUAUUCUCAAUGUUUGUAUUUUUGUUGCUAGUAUUAUUCUGUGUUGUAACUUUAAGUCAUUACAUCAUGCUAGUAUUAUUCUGUGUUGUAACUUUAAGUCAUUACAUCAUAAACCUUUUCGGAAACAUAAUGUUUAAAGUUGUCAUUUAUCAAUAACCGAAUGCCUUAUUAAAACAAAAGAUUGAGAAUUAGUUUUUUCAAUAAUUAAAUGAGUUUUAAUAUAA